rnacentral:rRNA from 1 species
UACGUAGGGUGCGAGCGUUAAUCGGAAUUACUGGGCGUAAAGCGUGCGCAGGCGGUUCGCAAAGUCUGAUGUGAAAGCCCCGGGCUCAACCUGGGAACUGCAUUGGAAACUAACGGGCUCGAGUGUGGCAGAGGGGGGUGGAAUUCCACGUGUAGCAGUGAAAUGCGUAGAUAUCUGGAGGAAUACCGGUGGCGAAGGCGGCAUCCUGGACCGACAUUGACGCUGAACGGCGAAAGCUAGGGGAGCAAACGGG